GAUUUGUCGCAUGGAUGCAUUUCUCAGGACACAUUUCCUGUUUGUGUCAGAUGAAGUCAGUGAGGCCUGGUGUCAAUGACGCUCUGGAUCUUCACACACCUGCCGGAGAUCCAGCAUCACACCUCGCAGCCCCAGAGUCGGACUGUGACCCAGAGUGCUCUGUCUCCUGGCCCAUGUCUCAUGUUGAUUGGUGGCCUCGUGUUGCCCGCUGAUCCAUUGUGAUGUCAUAUGUCUGUGCUGCUACCGGUUCCAUGGUAAACAGCCACUGAGGGAAGCUACAAAACCAGAAAGAUUCAUCUAGUCACAGCCCAGAGAUGAUGCAUCACGUACCACACAAGAAUUUGUUCUUACUUGAAUCAAAUAACUUUUAUAAAGUUAUUUUAAAUAAAAAUAAACAGAGGCCUCAGGGUUGUGGCUGAGUCCGUCCAGCAUGGAAAUUUCUUGGGAAAAAAAAGGUGAAAAAUGGGGCUGUAAAGUCGUGGUGGCAGUGCUGCAGUCCUGUGCUGCUCCCCUGAGCAAUUCCACAGCCUCUCAAACACAGAAGCAGCAUUUCAUGAAGAGAAGGUCAUAUUCACAGAGAAAGGGAUUUUGCCUUCUGGUCAAUCAAUGAGCAUCAAAUGAGAUGGACAGCACCCAUUUCCUGUUGUUCCUCACCUUCUGCAUAUAAAUCACACAGAUGCUGUCGCACCCUUGAGAUGAUGCCCUCAAAGGCGGCUCAUCUUCGAUUUGUUGUGGUUGUAGUGUUGCGUCGUGUUCUGGAGCCAUUCAAUCAAGAAUGAUGAGAAUGGCUCUUAACUCUUAAAAUGACAAACUUAUUUUACAACAUUAUGAUAAAUGUACUACUAUUCUUCCGUGUACACUUUCCCAAUUAAACAAAUUGCUC
ensembl:lncRNA